rnacentral:tRNA from 1 species
GAUGAGGUGGCUGAGUGGUUAAGGUAAUGGCCUGCUAAUCCAUUAUGUUCAAUAUGUGUGUUCGAAUCCCCCUCAUUG